rnacentral:rRNA from 1 species
CACGCCGUAAACGAUGAAUGCCAGCCGUUGGAAAGUUUACUUUUCAGUGGCGCAGCUAACGCUUUAAGCAUUCCGCCUGGGGAGUACGGUCGCAAGAUUAAAACUCAAAGGAAUUGACGGGGGCCCGCACAAGCGGUGGAGCAUGUGGUUUAAUUCGACGCAACGCGCAGAACCUUACCAGCCCUUGACAUGUCUAGGACCGGCACCAGAGAUGGAGCCUUCUCUUCGGAGCCUAGAGCACAGGUGC